rnacentral:rRNA from 1 species
AUACGGAGGAUCCGAGCGUUAUCCGGAUUUAUUGGGUUUAAAGGGAGCGUAGGUGGACAGUUAAGUCAGUUGUGAAAGUUUGCGGCUCAACCGUAAAAUUGCAGUUGAUACUGGCUGUCUUGAGUACAGUAGAGGUGGGCGGAAUUCGCGGUGUAGCGGUGAAAUGCUUAGAUAUCACGAAGAACUCCGAUUGCGAAGGCAGCUCACUGGACUGCAACUGACACUGAUGCUCGAAAGUGUGGGUAUCAAACAGGAUUAGAUACCCUGGUAGUCCACACAGUAAACGAUGAAUACUCGCUGUUUGCGAUAUACAGUAAGCGGCCAAGCGAAAGCAUUAAGUAUUCCACCUGGGGAGUACGCCGGCAACGGUGAAACUCAAAGGAAUUGACGGGG